ACUAUAUGGGAGUUCUGCAAAAGAGUUGGAUCCGAGCCCCUUGAAGGCUACUAUAAGCUCUCCUUCUCAAUUCCUACUCAAUACGUCCACGUCGUGCAGAAUGGACUGUUACUCGCUAACAGUUUAUCUUUGAGCG
rnacentral:ribozyme from 1 species